rnacentral:rRNA from 1 species
UACAGAGGUCCCAAGCGUUGUUCGGAUUCACUGGGCGUAAAGGGUGCGUAGGUGGUCGGCUAAGUCCGGUGUGAAAUCUCGGAGCUCAACUCCGAAACUGCAUUGGAUACUAUUCGGCUAGAGGGUUGGAAGGGGGACUGGAAUUCUCGGUGUAGCAGUGAAAUGCGUAGAUAUCGAGAGGAACACCAGUGGCGAAGGCGAGUCCCUGGACAACUCCUGACACUGAAGCACGAAAGCUAGGGGAGCAAACAGG